rnacentral:rRNA from 1 species
CCUACGGGAGGCAGCAGUGGGGAAUCUUGGACAAUGGGCGAAAGCCUGAUCCAGCGACGCCGCGUGGGGGAUGAAGCCCUUCGGGGUGUAAACCCCUGUUGCGAGGGAGGAAUAAGGCCUGGAGGAAAUGCCAGGCCGAUGACUGUACCUCGCGAGGAAGCCCCGGCUAACUACGUGCCAGCAGCCGCGGUAAUACGUAGGGGGCGAGCGUUACCCGGAUUCACUGGGCGUAAAGCGGGUGUAGGCGGCUCGGUAAGUCGGGUGUGAAAUCCCACAGCUCAACUGUGGAAUUGCGCCCGAAACUGCUGAGCUUGGGGCCGGUAGAGGGAGACGGAACUGCCGGUGUAGGGGUGAAAUCCGUAGAUAUCGGCAGGAACGCCGGUGGGGAAGCCGGUCUCCUGGGCCGCGCCCGACGCUGAGACCCGAAAGCUAGGGGAGCAAACC